GCCAUGUCAUGUUGAAACACUGGUUCUCAUAUGAUCACCGGAGUUACGAAAUAUUGAGACUGGUCACUAUCUAGAUGAGUGACCACUUGGGAAUACCAGGUGCUGUAAG